CGAUAACGAACGAGACCUUAACCGGCUAAAUAGCAGGCUAGCUUUUGCUGGUCGCCGGCUUCUUAGAGGGACUAUCGGCUCAAGCCGAUGGGAGUUUGAGGCAAUAACAGGUCUGUGAUGCCCUUAGAUGUUCUGGGCCGCACGCGCGCUACACUGACAGAGCCAACGAGUAUAAACCUUAACCGAGAGGUUUGGGUAAUCUUGUUAAACUCUGUCGUGCUGGCGAUAGGGCAUUGCAAUUAUUGCCCUUCAACGAGGAAUAUCUAGUAAGCGCAAGUCAUCAGCUUGCGUUGAUUACGUCCCUGCCCUUUGUACACACCGCCCGUCGCUACUACCGAUUGAAUGGCU
rnacentral:rRNA from 1 species